CUGUGAAUCACCGGUACCCUUACGAACACUGAAUUUCAGGACCGUCGAGUCUAGUCAGUACUUGGAUGGGUGACUACUAGGGAAUAUCAAGUGCCGUAA